UACAGAGGGUGCGAGCGUUAAUCGGAAUUACUGGGCGUAAAGCGCGCGUAGGCGGCUUUUCAAGUCGAUUGUGAAAUCCCCCGGGCUUAACCUGGGAACUGCAGUCGAGACUGUCUAGCUAGAGUAUGGGAGAGGGAAGUGGAAUUUCAGGUGUAGCGGUGAAAUGCGUAGAUAUCAGGAAGAACACCCGUGGCGAAGGCGGUUCUCUGGGACGGUACUGACGCUGAGACGCGAAAGCGUGGGGAGCGAACAGG
rnacentral:rRNA from 1 species